UUCCAAAAAUACGGGACAAACCCCAUAUUGAUUCAAAACGGGACGCGCUAUUUUAUUCUCAAAUACGGGACGAUUCCGUAUUUUAAAGGACGGGUAGCAACCCUACUCAGGAAGUGGGCAGUGGGGUCAGGUGAUGAUCUGAAAUGCCUUCAUCUGUGUUGAAUGUAGUGUGUAUGUGUGUGACAUUUGAUACGGCUGGGACCAAUUACUCGUCUUGUGGCUAAACCUGGACCAUGCCUGAUUACCUCCUAAUCUCAUACACGCACACAUCAGCAGUUACACACCUAAACUCAAAUACACACACACACACACACACACACAUUGGUUAUUUUCUUCUCUAUCUUUCUCACACUGUUCUAAAUCCUGUGGAAUAAAUUUAAUGAGGGGCUUUAGGUUUUUUUUUUUUUUAAAGGAGAUUGAGAAACAAAGCUGCUAUGAGGCUAAUCUUCAUUACAUGUGAGGGUUUACUUAAAAACACACAGAUUUUUGUCAUAAAUUGAUGGGACUGGAGUGGUGUGGAUUUUUUGUGGAUUAUUGUGAUGUUGUGAUCAGCUGUUUGGAGUCUCAUUCUGACGGCACCCAUUUACUGCAAGAGGAUCCAUUGAUUUCUUCCACAUCACAUAACAAGCUACGGUUAAUGAAUGCAACAAUGCAGGUUUAUGAUACGUCGAGCAGGGCUUGUCAGCCAGACAGCGAGAUUUGUUCCAUUUUAUGCAGUGCAUAAUCAUGUUAAACCAGAGGGCGUGGAGAUGCUUGACUGGAUGCGGAAUAACGGCUGUCUGCCGCCGGUACAGUAGUUCAGAUUCGGUUCAUCGCGCACAGACUGCAAGCUGUUAUAGCCAUUUUCAGUGACAAAGCAACUGCAAGUCAAUCAUUUUCAGGGAGCAUUGGCAAGGUGCAGUGACAGUUGGCGAAGCGACAAAGUUGACUUCAGCUUUAUGCAAACUAGCAUCAUAAACAAGCAUACA